AGGAAAUAGAUACCCGGGUAGUCCACGCUGUAAACGAUGUGUGCUAGACGUUGGGGGUUUAAGCCUCCGGUGUCGCAGCCAAACGCGUUAAAGCACACCGCCUGGGGAGUGCGGCCGCAAGGUUAAAACUCAAAGGAAUUGACGGGGCCCGCACAAGCGGUGGAGCAUGUGGUUCAAUUCGACGCAACGCGAAGAACCUUACCAGCUCUUGACAUGGGUAGUAUGGUCCCGGGCGACCGGGGCCUUCAGUUCGGCUGGCUACCACACAGGUGCUGCAUGGCUGUCGUCAGCUCGUGUCGUGAGAUGUUGGGUUAAGUCCCGCAACGAGCGCAACCCUCAUCUUCAGUUGCCACGUCGGGUAGAGGCCGGGCACUCUGAAGAACUGCCGGUGACACGCCGGAGGAGGCGGGUAUGACGUCAACGUCCUCA
rnacentral:rRNA from 1 species